GGUUAAGCGAAUAAGCGUACACGGUGGAUGCCUAGGCAGUCAGAGGCGAUGAAGGACGUGCUAAUCUGCGAUAAGCGCCGGUAAGGUGAUAUGAACCGUGAUAGCCGGCGAUGUCCGAAUGGGGAAACCCGG
rnacentral:rRNA from 1 species